UAAACGUGAUUUCCACACCACCUUGAGUCGGGCAUGCCGGCCGAGUAAGCCUUCCCGAACAGGUAGAAACAUGAUGGUACAUAGGCCUUACAUAAAAAUAAAAAUCUUUUCAAGAUUUAUUCUAUUCCAGGAUUUGAUUUGCAUAGCAUAACAUAAUUUCAUGCAUAUUCAAGCUCAAAAAGUAAUUUACUCUACUUUAGGAGAUUUAGGUUACUACUUGCUUGCUUGGGUAGUGUGUUAAACUCGCUCGUCUUUGUUCCUUAGGCUAAUCGGAUCGAUUCCUAUACCUUUCAUUGUCGACUAAUUAACGUUAUAUAUUUAACUUAGUAUUUAUUAAUGUACAAAUUUAUUUUUCAGUACUAUGGCUAACCAUACAUUUGGGUUUUUAAAAAUGAUGUUUUAAAGCCUAAACUGUUUUUGAAGCAAUUUCUUUCAACUCGCUGAACUGAAAAUCACGAAUUCAGUUUUUCUGUUCGAACUUGCAAGUCUGUUUUGGCCAUUUUAAGAUUUCGAAUUUGAAAUAUUAUUUCCAUAGAAUUUGAAUGGUAUGUUAAAUUAGCUAUGCCGUACACUUGAAUCAGCUAAAAUAUUUUCGUAUGAAGAAGUUUGACUAAAUAUCGACAAGUGAGUUUGGAAUAACAAAACCUAUCGUAACUCAUUUUUUUUAACUCGAUUUCCAAGUCUGUUUUGAGCUAUUUAAAGAUUCGAAUUUGAAAAAUAUUAUUUCACAUAAAUUCGUAGGUAUUUAAAUAGCUAUUCCUAGGACCCUUAAAAUCAACUAAAAAAAAUGUUUUCGAUGAAGAAGUUAUGGCGAAAAUACCGACAGUGGGGUUUUGGAAUAACAAUCUUGACGAAAUCAGUAUUUCUACUUCCGACCUUCCAUUCUAUUUUGAGCAUUUACACUUCGAAUUUGAAAACUAUUAUUUCAACAUAAACUUGUAAGGAUAUUUAAAUAGCUAUUCUUCAAAUACUACUUGAUCAACUAAAAAGUUUUCGUAUGAAGAAGUUUAUGUCUAAAUACUGACAGUUGGGUUCGAAAUAAACCUAAAACUUACUUUAGUUAGUUUUUUUUCUAACUCAUACUUUCAGUCUUUUCUAACCAUUUAAACUUGAAUUGGAAAUUUGUUAGUUCACGAUAACUUGUGAUAUUUAAAGCAUCUUUCAUAUGCAACUUGAAUCACAUCAACGGAUAUCGUAUGAAGAUUGUGUCCAAAAUACCACUGCUGGUCCGAUGGCAUAAACAAAUUCGUAUUUCAUGCCUACGAAUUUGAUUCCCAAAGAUUUCAAAAUGAAAAAUUUAUAGGGAUAUCUUGACAGAUUAUUACACUAACUAUGGUUGCUAUAAACAUUUAACAUAUAUCAAAUUUGCAACUGAAGUGGAAAAGAAUUGAAUUACCUCAACAAAUUUUCUCUUCCUCUUCCCUUCUGAUUUUCUCUUCUGGUUCCUUCUCUUCUCUCUCGUUCUCACUAAUCUCUCUCCUCUUCCCACUUACAACCGACACAACACAUAUAAAUCUAAUUUUUAUUAUUUUUCUUUUUUCUUUUCUUUUCAUUUUUUUUCUUUUGGCAAAAAUCAUGAUGAUGUUUGUUUUUUUUUUUUUUUUUUUUUUUCUUUUCUUCUUUAAUUAACCACCGAAAGAAAACAACGGAUUUGUUCCUUUGUCCUUCAAUUGCACUUUAGCCCCUCCAACUUUUUAAGUAAUUAUUUAUUUAAAUUUCUCUUUAAUUUAACCCAAAGUUAUUAAUCUUUCAAUUUUAACCCCUAAACGAAUUAAAUGCUUUAAAUUAAAUUACAAAAUUUUUAUUUUCUGAAAUAUUAUAGGUAUUAAUAGUCGGGAUAUUACAUUAUUCCCUCCUUAAAAGUUGUCCUCAACUUUGUUAUUUACAUUACAUUUCGAAGAGAAAAGGAUAACACGUUCGCAUUUCGUCUUUCUCUCUCUUCCCAUGUCGACUCUUCCAUUUUUGUGAUUCUGCCAUAAAACUCGUAACCAGCGAAAAAACCUUGUCGACGUACUUGAUCGCGUGGAAUCUAAAAUUUGCAUGGGGUUGCUUCGACUACACAAAUCUUCUCGUAGUUCCAAGGGUUGGUAUCCAUAACGUGGCUUGGGUCGAAUACAUACUUUUUGCAACAUCGAUAUGUGAAAAACAUUGUGAACAUUUGCCAAUUCCGUUGGCAGGGCAAGGCGAUAGUCAACUGGGCCCACCUCUCCAGAAUUUCAAACGUCCAAUAAAACGUGGAUUCAGUUUUCCUUUCAUUCCCAAAACGAAUGAUACCCUUAGAUGGGGAACCCUUCAAAAAUACGCGUGAUCUAUCUCCUGCGAGAAUUCUAAAUCUUUUCUACUCUUGUCUGCCUAGCUCUGUUGGACGACUCGGGCGGUAUACGAAUUCGUGUUGUAUCAAAGCAAUCUUCUCUGUGGUUCCUGUUAGCAAUGUUGGGGACCUAGGAUCUUCCUCCCCAACUUCAGUCCAACAAAAUAGGGGAUCGACAUUUUCUUUUCAUAGAUGCUUCAAAUGGGGCUAUCCUGAAGCUCGUUGAUACUGUUGUUGUUAGCAAAUUCCCUACUAACGUUAAUGUUCUUCCCAACCUCCUUUGAAGUCUAACAUGCAGAGCCGUACAAAUCUUCCAAGUAAUUUGAUCACUCUCGCCGAUUGUCCGUCGUCUUAGGUGAAAGCAGUACUAAAAUUUCCGUGAGUUUCCCAUAGCCAUUGCAAACUUUUCAAAACUGUGAAACAAAUCUCGGGUCGCGAUCUGAUAUGAUAGACAUAGGUGUUCCAUGAAGGCGAAUGAUUUCCUUUAAGUUAAGGUUGGGCCAGUGCAUCCAUCUUGUGCGUAAUCUUCAUAGCUAAGAAAAAAUGUGCCGACUUGGUGAUACCACGGUCCGACAAUUACCCAAAUGGUAUCGUUCCCGUCUAUUCGAACGUGGUAAUCCUACGACAAAUUCCCUCGUAAUGCUGUUCCCAUUUCCAUUCUGGAAUGGGAAGAGAAGUCACAAUCCUCCUGACGUUGGUUGUUUGCCGUUCCGCUUUCACUCUUUGACAUUGAUGCAAAAAACCGUGCUACAAAGCUUGCAACGUCUUUCUUCAUGCUUGGCCACCACAACAUGUCCCUCAGAAAUCAUGGUACGUCUUGUGCAAUCCUGGUGAAUAGCACUUUUGAACUAUGGGGCUUGCUCUAAAAUUUGUUGCUUUUUCUUCUUUCUGCCGAACAUGGUACCCACAAUCUGUCCUUCCAAUCUCAAAACGCCGUCAAUAAAAGAAAACUAAAUCCUGGCUUUUCCUCGCUUCCACUUCCGUCACGCUAGUUCCUCAAUAUAUCAUCCAUUUGCGCGGCCUUGUCGCUCAAUAUAGUGGACUACAUCGUAAGAGCAUAACAUAGCAUCCUCCUUGUGAGACACCGAUCUCGACAACAUCAAGUUCCCUCAAAUUUCUAGUAGUGUUGGUUGGGUUGGUGAUCCAUGUACGCCAAACUUGCUGGAAAUUUCGACUGAAGUGCAUCCGUACAACAUUUGCUUUACCGGGGGUGAUAAAGAAUCGUAAGAUCGUAGUCCUUCAUCAUUUCCCACCACGUCGCGGUCGUGUUGAGUUUCUUUUGUUGUGAAAAGGUAUCUUGAGGCUUUUUGUGAUCUGUGUAAAUCUCACAUGGCCUCUCCACAAAUAAGACUCCAGAUUUUGAGGGCAAAAAAUCACUGCUGCACGUUCAAAUCCGUGGGUUGGGUAGUUCUUCUCAUAGGUUUUAGUUGUCGUGAGGCAAUAAUCAAUCACUUUUCCAUUCUCUCAUCAGACACACCACCCAGUCCCUUAUGCCGAGGCAUCGCUAAAAAUCAACAUAGCUACCCUCUUCCAUUGGUAGAUCAAAUAGGAGCCGAUAUCAACCGGUUCUUCAACUCUUGUAAACUGUCUUCACAUCGGUAUACUCCCACUUGUAGUUAAGUGCUUUUCGGGUCAAUUUUGUCAUUGUGUUGCUAUCGUGAAAAGGCUUGCACAAAUCGUCUGUAUAACCGGCGCGUCCCAAAAAGCUUCUGAUCUCUGUAGCAUUUUUGGUCGUGGCCAAUUCACAACGUCUUCAAUUUUCCCUGUGGGUCGACACAAAAAAAAAAAAAAAAAAAAAAAGAAAUUCCCGUUCUUUGAAAUUAUAUGUCCCAAAAAGGCAAUCUCUAUCGAAAGCCAAUCGCACGUUUUUUUGAACUCGCAAAAAGUUUCUCCUCCGCUUAAUGUUUGCAAAAGCUAUCCGUAGAUGUCGCUACCAUGAUCCUCAUUAUUCUUGGAAUAAUGAGGAUGUCGUCAAUCAAGACUAUAAUGAAAUCAGCGAGGUGAGCCGUGAAUACACGAUUCAUUAUUCCAGGAAAGCUGCGGGGCAUUGGUUAUCCAAAUGGCAUCAACUAAGACUUCGUAGUGUCCUAUCGUGUAUGGAAUGCGCUCCUUUUUGGUAUAUCCUCCUGGCUUGAUCUUCAGUUGGUGAUACCCUGACCCGAAUAAUCUAUCUUGGAAAUACUUCGCACUUGAGUUGGUCAAUAGAAUCGUCGCUCCGGGGUAAGGAUACUUGUUCUUUAUGGGGACUCGUUCAAUUCUGCGGUAUAAUCGUGCCAUCUCAUGAAGCGCCGUCUUGCUUCUUCACGACAAAAUUGGGCACCCCAAGGUGAGGUCUUGGUCCGUAUAAAACCCUUACCAACAACUCUUGAAGCUUAAGGCUUUAACUCUUUCAAUUCGACAAUGUGCCAUUUUGUAUUGUGCCUCGAAAUGAAGUGGUACCCGGAACUAAUCAAUGGUAUUCGCAAUUCUCUAUCAGGAGGCAACUCGCAAGAUCAUCUGGAAAUACGUCCAUAAAUUCCCUCACAACUGGUAUAAUCAUUGGGUGAUCUCUUUGGGUGUGCAAUCUAUAUGGAUGCAAAGUAACGCUUGGCAUCCCUUCCUAACACUCGACGUGCAUGCAUAUACGAGGAUAGGUAGAAGGUGGUGGGAUAACACCUUCUCCUCUCAAAUGUCGCGUUGGUUGCAUAGGAAUUUGAAAAAUUUACUUUUCUUUGUUCAACACAAUCUUGGUGGCAUAACUUGAUGCCAACCAAUCCAUCUCAUAAAUACAUCAAAGUGCUGGAUUCUAAGGGAAUUUAGGUUACAUGAAGAAUGACUUCGUGUACUAUGAAAUUUACAAUCCCUAAAGAUAUGUGAACCUAUCAUGCAUGGAGUUUUCUGAUGGAUUGAAACAUGUAAGUACGUUCAAAGGUUGCGGGCGGAGUAGACAAUUUAGUAGCAAAAGCCCAGGUUCAAACAAAAGAGGGGGUCGACCCGAAUCAUCAAAUACGUGAGCAGGAUAUGAAUCGAUUGUGAGUAUACCUAGACCCACAUAUGUGGAGUCUUGUUACGUCUCAGGUACAAGUGGCAAUACUCUCCUUUGGCUGAAGUUGACCCCUUCCAGCUUGAAGUGGGUCUUUGAACAGUUGGGAUGGUGUUAAUGGUGGGAAACGACCAUAGCCCGGGAAUGAUUUGAUUUGGACGGCCUUGAUCAUAUGGCCUUGUUGGCCACAAUUGAAACAGAAGCUCCCCGUCCCUGCAUAACAAACGGUCCCUUGUGAACUUCCACACUUAGAACAGUGUGAUAAGUUUCCCCUUGUAAUGAUGAUAACGAUGAGUGUUCUUGCUCAUUAUUCCCAGGCAUGUUUGACUUCUGGAUGAAUUGCAUUUGACCCUCCUGGUCCAUUGGAUGCUUCCUCUUUUCCUCUUAUUGUCCCGAUCUUGAUAUAUUCCUCUUUACUCUCCUUUCAGCUUAGGAGUGCACAAUUCACCCUUCUGCAUACGUAGGCAACCGAAGUCAACUCCAGUCGACGCUGGAUGUUCCCCCUCUCAAACUAUCCUCAAUUUUUCUUGCUUUCUUUCCUAGGUGUCCGACCAUAUACGGUGGCAGCCCCAAACCCCCAAAAAAUUAAUCGCGCCAAUUCCGUGAACUUGGCCCUCAAUAAGCCAUCACAGAGUCAUACUUCCUUGCUUAAGUGAAUAAACUCCUUUAAGUUUCUUGACUUGAGUGCUUUUGGAAAAUACUUAUCAUCGAAAACUGCUUGAAACGCUCUCCCAAGUCUGUUGGGCUCCCUCUCCGAAGUGAUUAGUCACCAUUCUGCGCCUCUCCCACAAACAUGUAGACGGCGAAGCUAACCUUUUGUGAAUCGUGCAUAGAAAUACUGUGUAAGUCCUUUUUCUGAUCUCAUUGUAGGCCAACGCCAUGGCCCCCUUGGGAUCAGUCGUACCUCAAACGUUGGGGGCAUUAGGUUUGCGAAAUUGCUGGCUCGUUGGGAUCCCUGGGGCAGGAUUUGGUGCUCCAAAGCAUUGACUAAGCUUCCAAGGCUCUCUCAAUUCCUAUCAGGGUCGGGGUGCUCCUCCUCUCCCCUACGUCCUCCUCGCCUCUUGUUGCCAUGAGUCUAUAAAUACAUCCGACCUCGAACAAAGCAACCAAUUGAUAUAGGAGUACACUUUAACUAUAUCGUUAUCAUAUGUUGUUCGCGUGCGAAUAUAUUCUCACUUAAUACUAGUUAUCUACCUUAGAAUAGUACAAGUUCUCAACCGUUGGGCUCGAUACCAUUCUGUAACGACCUGGCAGCCCGAUCUCCCCUUGGUCCACGUCUGCAUCGCGUCGUUACUUUGAUUUUUCCUUCGUAAAAAUUUUUUUUCUUUAAAACUUGUUGCCUUUUUUUGUCUUUAAAAACUUCGUGUGCGAAGCGAAACAUAUAAAUUAUUUUUGGAGUCAUAAACUCAAUAUUAAAAAUUCAUUCAUUUGAAAUACAUGCCCAUGACGGUAGAGAGACGUACCUGUCAUACAUUCUACAUCUUCAAUACUUACAUAUUCAAUAGCUUAUCGGACUUUCUAUUCCGACUAUACCAUACCUAAAUUAUUGUUCUAUUAACAUAACAUGGUUCUAAAUUUUACUCCACUUGUUUUCCUUUAUCACCUGAAUAUUGGUCAAAAACAUAUUCCUAAGCCAAUUUGCUUAGCGUAUAAUCAUAAUCUCUAACUAGGUUUUUAUCAAUACAUAUCAGAACAUAAAUACAGGGUAGAUGCAUAUAACAACAUACGUGAAAAAAUAAAACAUUUAAUCUUUCGCAAAUAACUUGUUCAAAUUCAUGCUUGUACUUGUAUUUUUGACUAUAUCCGAGUCACAAUCUUCUUGAAACAUAAUUAAGGCACUAUACCUCGCCGUCCUUAGUCGGGUUUGAUAACGUGAUUUCCACACCCCUUAGAUUCGGGGCAUGCCGGCCGAGUACCUCCCUAAGGUAGAAACAUAUGAUACUAGGCUAUCAUAAAAUCUUUUCAAAGAUUUAUAUCUUUCCAUGGAUUCUGAUUUGCAAUAGCAUAACAUAAUUUCCGCAUAUAUCAUAAGCACAAAAAUAAUUUACGUCUACUUUAGAGAUUUAGGUUACUUACUUUGUUUGCUUGGGUAUUGUGUUAAACCGCUUCGUCUUGUUCCUUAGUCUAAUCGAUCGCUUCCUAUACAUUUUCUUUGUCGACAUAAUUACGAUUACACAUUUACUUUAAGUAUUUAUUAUGUAACUAAAUUUUAUCUUUUCAAGUACUAGGCGAACAACAUGUUUGGUUAUUUAAAAUAUUUUUUUGUAAAGAAGCCUAAACUGUUGACAAUUUUCAACUCGCUGAACUGAAAAUCAAGAAUUCAGUUUUUCUUUCGAACUUGUAUUCUUUUUGGCCAUUUAGAUUUCGAAUUUGAAAAAUAUUAUUUACAUAAAUUUAUAUGUAUUUAAAUUAGCUAUUCCGAACACCUGAACAAGCUAAAAUGUUCUUUCGUAUGAAGAAUUUAUGGCUAAAAUCCGACAGUGAGUUUGAAUAACAAACCUAUCCGUAACUCAGUUUUUUUCCUCGAAUUUCCAAGUCUAGUUUGGCUAUUUAAAGUUCGAAUUUGAAAUAUAUUAUUUCACAUAAAUUCGUAGGUCUUUAAAAUAGCUAUUCUAGACACUUAAAUCAACUAAAAAUGUUUUCUUAUGAAGAAGUUAUGGCGAAAAUACCGACAGUGGGUUUGGAAUAAACAACUUGUCGAAUUCGUUUUCUACUGAACUUCCAAGUCUAUUUGGCCCAUUUAAUCUUCGAAUUUAAAACUAUUAUUUCACAUAAACUUUAGGUAUUUAAAUCGCUAUUCUCAUAUAUUGAAUCAACUAAAAUGUUUUCGUAUGAGAAAGUUAUGGUCUAAAUACUGACAGUUGGAUUCGAAAUAACAACAUAACUUAAUUAGUUUUUUCUACUCAUACUUUCAGCUCUGUUCUCCCAUUUAAACUUGAAAUUGGGGGAAAAAAAAUUUGGGUCAUUUCACGAUAACUUGUAAUAUUUAAAGUGCCUCUUUCAUAUGCAACUUGAAUCACAUCAAACGGAUAUCGUAUGAAGAAUUGUGUUCCAAAAUACCACUGCUGGUCCCUACUUCUAAAAAAAUUUCGUAUUUUUAAUGCUCGAAUUGAUUUGAUUCCAGAAAAGAUUUCAAAUUGAUAAAAUUAUAGAUAUCUUGACAGAUUAUUUACACAAAUGAGUUGCUAUAAUAAAUUUAAAACAUAUCAAAAUUUAGCAAGGAAGUGGAGAAAGAAUUUGAAUUUAACCUCAACAAUUUUCUCCCUUCCUCUUGCCUUCUUAUUUCUCUCUCUUUUCCUUCCCUUCUCUUUCUCUCUCGUUCUCAGUCUACUCUCUCUCUCUCUUCUCACUUACACCGACCACACAUAUAAUCUAUUUUAAUUAUUUUCUUUUUUUCUUUUUUUCUUUUUUUUCUUUUUUUUUCUUUUUUUUUUCUUUUCUUUUUUUUUCUUUUUUUUUUUUCUUUUGGCAAACAUCAUGUGAGUUUGUUUUGUUUUUUUUUUUUUUGCUUUUCUUUUCUUCUUUAACCACCGAAAUAGAACAACGGGAUUUGUCCCUUUGUCCCUUUAAAAAUUGCACUUGAGUCCCCUCCAACUUUUUAAGUAUUAUUUUUAUUUAAAGUUCUCUUUUAAAUUUUAACCGCAAAAGUUAUUAAUCUUUCAAUUUUAACCCUAGAACAAUUAAAUGCUUUAAAUUAAAUUACAAAAUUUUUUAUUUUCUAAAAAUAACUCUAGGUAAUUAAAGUCGGGAUAUUACAUAAUGUUUUUUUUCCCGUAUAGUGUGACCCCUAUUUCCACGUUUUAGAGGCAUAUUGGUUUAUACUAAAGACUUCAUUAAUUAAGGCCAAUUAAAGAUAAGUUCAAGCUAAUUUAUUUUAAAUGAAACUCUUUAUGAUAAAAGGGAUAACCGUUGAUGGAGUGGAAAUCAUUUUAGGGUAUACUUCUAGGCCUCUUUCUCUCCUCUAUAAUAGAUAGGAAACCACCCCUUUGAACGUAUGUUUUUCCAUCAAUAUUAGAAUAUUGGUUAUCCUUUAGAUUAGAGACAAGAGAAGAAGGUGAGCCAAGAAAUUAAAGCAAUCAAUUAAGGGGUUUAUUCAAUUGAUCAGAUGGCGAAUAAAGGUAUAUCUACUCCAUUAAUUAUUGUAAAUAAUUAUUGAGAUUAUUGAAUUCAAGAUCUUAUUCGGUUUUAAUUUCCCGCACAUAGUCGAACCGAAUUACUUUUAUGACUUCCAUUUGGUAUCAGAGUCAUGAUUUAUUGAAUCAAUACACUUAUAAUUAAAUUAUGUUUCAUUUGCAUUAUUGAUGAAACCUAUGAUUAAAAUCAAUUUUCGUUAAAUCUUAAUAUAAUAGAAUCCCGUAUAUUCUAUUCAUGUGAGUUUUUCCUUUUGUUACGCAUGAUUUACAAAUUUUCCCUGAUGAUUCUGGACUUUAUAAUCAUAAUGUGUAUAUAAUAUAUAUAUAUUGCUUCUUAGUCAUGUUGAUUGGAAUAUAUGUGCCAUCAUAAAAGGCUGUAAUCGCGACUUUCGAUAACUGUUAUUUAUCCGUAAUGAUAAUAAAUAAAUCAUAAUGAAUUUAUGCAUUAAUACUUUCUGACAAUGUUCACUGAUUUUUUUUUUUGUAAAAAAGGAUUUGAUAUGUCAUAUCAUCAAAGUAACUCUAUAAGUAAGGUUUUCCAUUUUAAUUUAUAUAUAUAAUUAUAUAUAUAUAUAUAUAUAUUUUUAAACAUUCACGCUAAUUAGGGGUUGUCCUGAUCUAUUUCAUAUUCCACCCCCCCCCCUCCCCCCCCCUUUGAAAAAAAAAAAUUAUAGUUUUAAUCCCAGAAUUUAUAAAUUAACAGUUGUUUACCCAAAUUCUAAAAUUACAGGUUUUGACUCAGAUUCUGAAAAUUAUAGUUUUUUACCCCAGAUUCUGAAAAUUACAGUUUUACCUAGAUUCUGAAAAUUACAGUUUUUACCCAGAAUUUGUAAAUUAUAAUUUUUAACCUCAGAUUUUCGGACAUUACAGUUUAACCCAGAUUCUAAACAUUUACAGUUUUACCCCAGCUUCUAAAAAUUAACAGUUUUAAACCCUGAUUUUAUAAUAAUAAUAGCAUAAUAAUAAUUAAAUAAAUAUUAAUUGCAAAUUGAAAUUAAUGAACAAAAAAUAUUAUUGGUUAUGUCAAUAGUUCAGGAGAAAUACAACCUUAGUAGUUGCCAACGUGACCUAAGUAGUAAGCCUAUAAAUAACGAACUAUAUAAAGAAUUGUUAAAAGAGGGCAAUUAUUAAAGAACAAUAUCUUCUAAAUUGCAGUCAUGAUUAGGCGAAUGAGACUAGCCCAAGGAAAGUCACAUUUAACUAGUUAUGAACUGUAUAGGGAAUAAUUUGUCUCGACUUAUCAAUUGGAUUUGAUACCCAAAAGUAACAUAACUAAUUUAUAAGUUGAUAAAUUAUUUUAGGCCUACCUGGGUGAAUUGUUACCCCUAUUAAUGGUGAAUACUGGAUAUACUUCGGUUUCGCUCAAAGGAGUUCUAGUGAUAUCAAUAAUUCAUCAUUAUAUUGUUUAUAUUUCCGCAAAGCUUUAACUGAGCAUUGUCUAUUUUGUUUUAAAGUAAUUGUUCCUACUUCACUACACUCUCAUGGCUCUAGCUCCCGUUACUUGUUUGGAUCAAAUUUUUUGGAAUGGUAUGAGCCAUGUUCAGUUUACACUGGGUGUAAUGGAACCCCCUGAUAUGGCUUUGCUUGUGAAAAAGCCGCGGACAUUAAUGAUGAAAGGUACCGCAGAACAAGUUAGAGGAAGGGGGAGGGGGGGUGCGAAGGGGGGGGAGGGUGGGGGGGCGGGGAGGUGGGCGGGGGAUGGGGCGUCAGGGAGGAGUGGGGGAUGUAUGGAUGAGGGUAUAGGCGGGGGUGAGGGGACGGGGGAGGCGAGCCAGCAAAUUAUGGGAAGGUCAACAGACUCAAGUUUGAAUGUUCCUGAAGAUGACCAUUGCGAAUAAUAUCAACCCUCCCUAUCACAACCUCUAAUGCACUGGAAUAUUUAAAAGCUGGUGAGGACCGCUUAAAUUUUGCUGAUAAUCACUUACCGGGCACUGCAAUCAUGGCUGAAUUGACUACAUAAAAUAUGAUGGCCACCGAGGUUCAGGACACAUUUGAACAUGUCUGAUAAAGCUGAAAGCUUGCUUCCUGGGAAUGCACGUGGAUGAGUCCGUUCUUGUUCAGUUUAUUCUCACUCACUUCCUUCACAGUUUGGCCCAUUCACAAUUCACUAUAAUGAACUAUAAAGACAAGUGGAGUUUGAAUGAGCUAACUAGUAUGGUUUUCAUGAAGAAAGUGAGAUUGAGAGAGGAAGGACGCCACACUUCCACUUUCUGAACUCAAGGAAGAAUGAAGAAGAAAGAAAAUUCGGUAAGGCUCAGAAAAAAUCUGCCAAAAUCUCUGCGAAUGACCUGAGAAGUAUUAGCCUGAAAGAAUGGUUUCACUGUCACGUGUCACUUUUGGGGCCAUAAGGACAUGUGGAGAAGACUGUCACAAGCGAGAGCGUGGUUCCGAAAGAAGGUAAUGAACUUCUUUGUAUUUUAUGAUCACAUCCUUGCGAGUACCUUCUAAUACAUGGUGGAUUGAUUCCUGGAGCCCCAACUCAUAUUUCAAAUUCUAUGCAUGGAUACCUUACCACCGCGGAAACCGGAGGAAAGUGAGAGAUUCUCUUUAUGGAAACCGUCUCAAAGCUCAAAUGGGUAGUUGGUACCGUUUUGAUUUUGGAGACUGGUCAUCAUAUGAUCUCGAAGAUCCUUUUUAUGUUUCCCUCUAUUUCUAGAAAUUUAGUUUUCAUUAUAUAGAUAGAGAUCGUUCUGGAUAUUCAGUUUUAUUAAGUUGUGGAAACUCAGUUUGAAUUUUACUUUCACUAAAUUUGGUUUUGGUGAUUUUAUGUGAUGGUUUAAUAUAAAAUUGCCUUAAAUCAUGAGUUUACUACAUAAUCUUUGUUUAACCUUUGGCAUUCGAUGUUGGAUCAAAACGUGUAAAUUAAUGCAAACUCCAUCAACCUUGUGGCAUAAAACGGCUGGGACUAUUUCUAGGAUAGAAUUGAAAGAAUUAGUAAGAAUGGGACUUGGAAAAUCUAACUUUACUACUUAUUUGAAAUAUGUUGGAGAUUGCAUGAAAGGAAAGCAAACUAAACAAACAAAGAAAGGAGCACAUAAUAAUGAGCUUCUUGAAAAAUUCACACUGAUAUUGCGAAUUCCAACUCCAUGUAUUAGUGUACAAAAAUAUUAUCACCUUUAUAGAUGACUUCGCACUAUAUGGAUAUUUGUAUUAAUCAUGAAAAUCUAACUUAGGCCGGUGACAUUUUGAAAACUCCUCAACCUUGUGGCAUAAAACGGCUGGGACUAUUUCCAGGGAUAAGAUUGAAAGAUUAUUAAAGAAUGAGAUUUUUGGAAAAUCGAAACUUUAACUGAUUUUGAAAUAUGUGUAGAUUGCAUUAAAGAAGCAAACUACAACCAAAGAAAGGAUCCACAGAAGUAAUGAGCUUCCUUGAAAUAUUCACAUACUGAUAUUUUGCGAAAUUUCCACUCCAUGUUUAAGUGGGACAAAAUAUUUUUAGAUCACCUUUAUAGAUGACUUCUCACGAUAUGGAUAUUUGUAUUUAAAUUCAUGAAAAGCUCAGGCCGUUGACAUUUUUAACAGUGUAACAUUACGUGGGUCGAGAGACAAUUAACAUCAGAUAUAAAAAGUAAAAAUAUGAGGUCAUAUAGAGAUGGUAAAUGAAUUUUAUGGUAAAUAGCGAGUCAGGCCAAAAUCUCUGCGCCAUUUGCCAAACUAUAGAAAAAGGCAAGGCAUUCGUGCUCAAUACACAAUGCUGGUACUCCACAAGCAAGAAGGGAGUUUUGGCGAAUGCGUAAUCGUACACGUAUGGAUAUUGUUAGGAGUAUGAUGAGUUUCUAACGAAUGUCCCAAUUUUUGUGGAGUGGAAGCACUUAACACGCAGUGUAUAUCUUGAACAGGUUCUAGUAAGUCGUCCCAACUACUCUUUUGCGUUGUGGACUGGUAAGGACACCUAGUUUGAGACAUUUCCAUGUUUGGGGUUGUCCAGUGAGGCUGAAAUUCUAUCCACAGAAAGAAAUUAGAUUCUAGAACAAUUUUUGGGUAUUUCAUUGGUUAUCCAGAAAAGUCCUAAGGGGUACAGAUUCUAUUGUCCUAACAUAGUACGAGAAAAUCGUUGAAACUGGAAAUACCAGAUUCUUAAGAAUGGCGAAAUUAGUGGGAGUGAGAAAUCAAGAACAAGUGAGUUUCGCUGAAGUUAGAGUUGACAUCACCAACUAAUUCUUCCUCGUCGAGAAGUUGUCACUCCUCAGAUAACCACCAUUCUGAGGAGAACGACACUAAUAAAUGAUUCUCACUUCAUGAGGAUAUCGGCCAUGAAAAUAAUGUAGAACCACCACAACCGGCAGUUCUAAGAAGAUCUCAGAGUAGAAAUCUGCCAUCUCUCCGAAUGAUUAUGUGGUGUAUCUACCAAGAAUCGAUUUUGAUAUUGGGAUUACGAAAGAUCCGAUUUUGUUUUCACAUGCCACUUAUUAAGUGUGAUUCUACUAAAUGGGUUUGAUGCCAUGCUGAUGAGUUGAAUCUAGUGGAAAAAACCAGAAUGAUGUCUGGGAUCUCCCUCGUUGAAUUGCCUUCUAAUUGUCAAGAAAAUCAGAUGUAAAUGGGUCUUUUAAGACCAGCUGAUGCAAAAGGCAAUAUCGAACGAUUUAAGGUUAGACUUUGUGGCUAGGUUUCACUCAGAAAGAAGGCAUUGACUACAAAUGAGACCUUUUCUCCAGUACGAAAAAGAACUCCUUAGAAUCAUUUUGGCCUUGUAGCUUCCUUAUGACUUAGAGCUACAUCAGAUGGAUGUGGGAAACCGCUUUCUAAUGGUAGUUUGGAUUGAGAAAUUUACUGGAACAACCUAAGGAUUCGCAAGAAAGGAAAAGAGCAUUUUAGCUUGCAAAUUAAAUAAUCCAUUUAUGGCUUAAACAAGCUUCCAGGCAAUGUAACUUAAAUUUUUCAAUGAUAAUCAUUUACCUUCUUCCGAUUUAAGGAAAAAACGCUGUUGAUCAGUGUAUAUAUCUGAAGAUCAGUGAGAGUAGUUUAUUAUUUUGGUGCUAUAUGUGGAUAUAUUUUGUGAGCUUGCAAUGAUCUUGUUUUGUUGACACGAACCAAGGGGGAAUCUUGCCAAAAAUAACCAACUUUAAGAUGGUCGUUAGGUAGGCCUCGUAUGUUUAUUGGCAUAGAGAUCAGCAUAUGAUCGAUCUCGAGAAUUGCUAAGAUUGUCCUCAGAAGGGUUAUAUCGAUCGAGUUUGGAUAGAUUUAAUAUGCAAAGUUGCUCAGCAGUGAUGCACCUCUUGUGGAAGGUGAACAAGUUAAAUGAAACCAGUGCCACGAAUGCUUUAAAUUAAAUUACAAAGUCUUUUAUUUUCUAAAUAGAACUAUAGGUUAAUUAAGGUCGGGUAUUACAUACGUUGUUAUUUCCCUUAUAUAAGUGGCCCUAUCUCCACGUUUUUUAGGCAAGAUUGUUAUACUAAGACUCCAUAUAAUUCAGGCCAAUUAAAGAUAAGUUCAGCUAAUUUAUUUUAAAUGGAAAACUCCUUAUGAUAAAGGAUAACCGGUUGAUGGAUAGGAAUCCUUUUAGAGUAUACUCUAGGCCCCUCGUUUCUCUCCUC
rnacentral:lncRNA from 1 species